rnacentral:rRNA from 1 species
UACGAGGGGGGCGAGCGUUGUUCGGAAUUAUUGGGCGUAAAGAGCGUGUAGGCGGUCCGGUAAGUCAGCUGUGAAAGUCAAGGGCUCAACCCUUGAAUGCCGGUUGAUACUGUCGGGCUAGAGUCCGGAAGAGGCGAGUGGAAUUCCCGGUGUAGCGGUGAAAUGCGCAGAUAUCGGGAGGAACACCAAUGGCGAAGGCAGCUCGCUGGGACGGUACUGACGCUGAGACGCGAAAGCGUGGGGAGCAAACAGG